rnacentral:rRNA from 1 species
AUUGAACGCUGGCGGCAUGCCUUACACAUGCAAGUCGAACGGCAGCACGGGAGCAAUCCUGGUGGCGAGUGGCGAACGGGUGAGUAAUAUAUCGGAACGUGCCCAGUCGUGGGGAUAACGUAGCGAAAGCUACGCUAAUACCGCAUACGAUCUAUGGAUGAAAGCGGGGGAUCGCAAGACCUCGCGCGAUUGGAGCGGCCGAUAUCAGAUUAGGUAGUUGGUGAGGUAAAGGCUCACCAAGCCGACGAUCUGUAGCUGGUCUGAGAGGACGACCAGCCACACUGGGACUGAGACACGGCCCAGACUCCUACGGGAGGCAGCAGUGGGGAAUUUUGGACAAUGGGCGCAAGCCUGAUCCAGCAAUGCCGCGUGCAGGAUGAAGGCCUUCGGUUGUAACUGCUUUGUACGGAACGAAACGGUGAGCUCUAAUACAG